GGCCUAGUGGGACUGCGGUAUUAAGUGUUGUAGGACAAUUUUUUGUAAAAUGUCUUAUGACUGGAAUAUUUCAGAAAAGGUAUCAAAGUCGAAGGCACCUGGACACGGGACAAAUGUUUUUUUUACCCUUCCUCCUUGCUUUGUCAAAAUUUGGAAUUUUUUUUGUUUUCUAUUAAUUUUAAUAUGAACAUACAUUUAGUACAUUAUGAACAUUU
rnacentral:lncRNA from 1 species